rnacentral:rRNA from 1 species
GCCGGAUUUUGAAAGUAGUCCCACGCCCCAUGUUGAGUCGCAGCCCCGGAACCAGGCGCCCGCCCGAAGGACCAACCAAACUCUUUUCUGUAGUCCCCUCGCGGACGUUAUUUCUUACAGGUCUGAGCAAAAAUUCAAAAUGAAUCAAAACUUUCAACAACGGAUCUCUUGGUUCUGGCAUCGAUGAAGAACGCAGCGAAAUGCGAUAAGUAAUGUGAAUUGCAGAAUUCAGUGAAUCAUCGAAUCUUUGAACGCACAUUGCGCCCGCCAGUAUUCUGGCGGGCAUGCCUGUCCGAGCGUCAUUUCAACCCUCGAACCCCUCCGGGGGGUCGGCGUUGGGGAUCGGGAACCCCUAAGACGGGAUCCCGGCCCCGAAAUACAGUGGCGGUCUCGCCGCAGCCUCUCCUGCGCAGUAGUUUGCACAAGUAGUUUUAACCAAAAGCGAAUCCUGCCCGUAGUUUGGCAAAAGACCCCCAAAACCAAAUGAAAACCCGGCAGUCAUUUUCGAAAACUACCCCAAAAC